rnacentral:rRNA from 1 species
GACAGAGGGUGCAAACGUUGUUCGGAAUUACUGGGCGUAAAGCGAGUGUAGGCGGUCUUAAAAGUCAGGCGUGAAAGCCCCGGGCUCAACCUGGGAACCGCGCUUGAGACUGGCAUGCUCGAGUUCGGGGGAGGAUGGUGGAAUUCCCAGUGUAGAGGUGAAAUUCGUAGAUAUUGGGAAGAACACCGAUGGCGAAGGCAGCCAUCUGGACCGACACUGACGCUGAGGCGCGAAAGCGUGGGGAGCAAACAGG